rnacentral:rRNA from 1 species
UACCUGGUUGAUCCUGCCAGUAGUCAUAUGCUUGUUUCAAGGACUAAGCCAUGCAAGUCUCAGAGUAAAUGGAUCACAGUAGGUCUGCAGACAGCUCAUUAAAUCAGCUUCAAUCUACGCGGAGAAACUGCCUUUUGGCAGACCAUUGGAUAACUUUGGUAACCCCAAAGCUAAUACAUGUCAGUAAAACCUGCACAGAUUCCACCCUGAGGCCUUGGUCUUGGGGCUGUGCCAGGUGCAAUUGACCGAAAUAAAAACCAACGCUAGCAAUAGCAGCGGUGAUUGGAUGACUCAGGUCAAUCGAGUAGUAGCGCAUUCUUCGGAGGCGCUUGUCCGCACGAGAAUCUGCCCUAUCAGCUUUUGACGGUAGUGUAGUGGACUACCGUGGCAGUAACGGGUAACGGGGAAUUAGGGUUCGAUUCCGGAGAGGGAGCCUGAGAAACGGCUACCACAACUAAGGUUGGCAGCAGGCGCGCAAAUUGCCCAAUAGCAACACCUCGCUGAGGCAGCGAAGAGAAAUAGCAACUUCAUGCGGCCCUGCCGUGUGAAGAUUGCCAUGGACGAUAUCUAAACCUGUCGGUGAGUAUCAAUUGGUGGACAAGUCUGGUGCCAGCACCCGCGGUAAUUCCAGCACCAAUAGC